CGAACCGACUAAUGUUGAAAAAUUAGCGGAUGACCUGUGGCUGGGGGUGAAAGGCCAAUCAAACCGGGAGAUAGCUGGUUCUCCCCGAAAGCUAUUUAGGUAGCGCCUCGUGAAUUCAUCUCCGGGGGUAGAGCACUGUUUCGGCUAGGGGGCCAUCCCGGCUUACCAACCCGAUGCAAACUGCGAAUACCGGAGAAUGUUAUCACGGGAGACACACGGCGGGUGCUAACGUCCGUCGUGAAGAGGGAAACAACCCAGACCGCCAGCUAAGGUCCCAAAGUCAUGGUUAAGUGGGAAACGAUGUGGGAAGGCCCAGACAGCCAGGAUGUUGGCUUAGAAGCAGCCAUCAUUUAAAGAAAGCGUAAUAGCUCACUGGUCGAGUCGGCCUGCGCGGAAGAUGUAACGGGGCUAAACCAUGCACCGAAGCUGCGGCAGCGAACGUAUCACCCAAGACAACUUUACGGAGUUGACGAUUGACGGAGCGAAGCGACGUCAAAGCGUUCAUUAAAGUCGAGUUGGCUUAGGGAUACGUUCGUUGGGUAGGGGAGCGUUCUGUAAGCCUGUGAAGGUGUGUCGUGAGGCAUGCUGGAGGUAUCAGAAGUGCGAAUGCUGACAUAAGUAACGAUAAAGCGGGUGAAAAGCCCGCUCGCCGGAAGACCAAGGGUUCCUGUCCAACGUUAAUCGGGGCAGGGUGAGUCGACCCCUAAGGCGAGGCCGAAAGGCGUAGUCGAUGGGAAACGGGUUAAUAUUCCCGUACUUGGUGUUACUGCGAAGGGGGGACGGAGAAGGCUAUGUUGGCCGGGCGACGGUUGUCCCGGUUUAAGCGUGUAGGUGUGUGUUCCAGGUAAAUCCGGUUCACUUUAACACUGAGGCGUGACGACGAGGCACUACGGUGCUGAAGCAACAAAUGCCCUGCUUCCAGGAAAAGCCUCUAAGCAUCAGGUAACACGAAAUCGUACCCCAAACCGACACAGGUGGUCAGGUAGAGAAUACCAAGGCGCUUGAGAGAACUCGGGUGAAGGAACUAGGCAAAAUGGUGCCGUAACUUCGGGAGAAGGCACGCUGACACGUAGGUGAAGUGAUUUACUCAUGGAGCUGAAGUCAGUCGAAGAUACCAGCUGGCUGCAACUGUUUAUUAAAAACACAGCACUGUGCAAACACGAAAGUGGACGUAUACGGUGUGACGCCUGCCCGGUGCCGGAAGGUUAAUUGAUGGGGUCAGCG
rnacentral:rRNA from 1 species